UACAGUGUUCAGAUGGGUAAUCUCACAGAAGACAUGUCCUUUAAUUUCAUAAUUCUAUAUUUGAUGUUUAAGUUUGAAAGCAUCUUCACCAAGAUCAUUACUCAACAAACAAAAUUCCCUAUAAAACAGAAUCCUGAAAUAACAAAAUGUUAAUACUUUGUAUAUGGGAAAG